rnacentral:ncRNA from 1 species
UCGCCCACAAUGGCCUUCAACGGUUUCAACAUGGAUGUGUCGGCGGUUGGGUUGUUGCAAAAGGAUUGCAGCAAGGCAAAGGCCGAUUGGCUACCGACUGGUUUCGGGCAUCUUUGUUGGAGUCGUUGUCGCUGGCAGUGGUUGGUUGUGGCUGUGCGGCGGCUCCUUCGUUGGUCUCCUCGCGCUAACCCCGUAGCGUGUGGUUUUUAGCGGGCUAUCAAGCCCGCUUUUUUUU